rnacentral:rRNA from 1 species
CGCAUCUGUGCAUGCAGCAUAUCAAUAAGCGGAGGAAAAGAAACUAACAAGGAUUCCCCUAGUAACGGCGAGUGAAGCGGGAAGAGCUCAAAUUUGAAAUCUUAAAGGGUUUCCCUUUACGAAUUGUAGUUUAAAGAAGUGUUUUCUGUUGAGGUUUUGGUAAAAGUUCUUUGGAAUAGGACAUCAUAGAGGGUGAGAAUCCCGUAUUUGACCUUUACUUUCAACUUUGUGAUACACUUUCAGAGAGUCGGAUUGUUUGGGAAUGCAGUCCAAAAUGGGUGGUAAAUUUCAUCUAAAGCUAAAUAUUGGCGAGAGACCGAUAGCGAACAAGUACCGUGAGGGAAAGAUGAAAAGAACUUUGAAAAGAGAGUUAAACAGUACGUGAAAUUGUCAAAAGGGAAGCGUUUGACACCAGUGUUGUUUUUCUGAAAAUCAAUUAAAGAACUGUUUAUGCUAAGUUGUUUAGACUUUAUCAGCUAACUGUUUAGUUUUGAGCUUUUCUUUAAUGCACUUUUCAGUUAACAAGUCAACAUCAAUUUCUUUUGCUGUAAAAAAGCUUGAGGAAGGUGGCUUGAGAUUCGUCUUAAGUGUUUAUAGCCUCUUGCCUAUGCAGUCGGAGAGAUUGAGGUCUGCAGCGUAGAUCCUUCGGGGCUAAAUGCAUUUGUGCUAAGUUAUAGCAUUUUAUAGACAACUUGUUGACUAUGAUUUGUCUUGUAGCUUACUCGCUUAUGUUAUUUUACCUACGCUUAGGAUGUUGACAGCAGUAUAGACUGU